rnacentral:rRNA from 1 species
GUCUAUGGCCAUACCACCCUGAACAUGACCAGUCUCUUCUGAUCUCAGAAGCUAAGCAGGGUCAGGCCUGAGACCUAGCACUUGCAUGGGAGUCCUCCCGACAUUCGAUCUUCAGAUU